AAGAAGCAGGGUAGGGUUCGAGCGGUGGCGCUGCUUACCACCCCUUCAUCGCGCCUACACGCUGGGUUGCAUUUCUCCAGCAUAAACAACUGUAUACUAGCGUUCGCUAAUGGUGGAUGGUGGAGGUGGUGUUCCUGUCGCAUUUGUGAUUUCACUCUAAAUAGGAAGGAAUCGGCGCUGGAUUGUUACUCAAUAUUUCAUUUGCAGCUGUUGCACCAGUGAAGGAUGUCUGUGUGCCGCCUUGCAUUCAGUUUCUCAGCCAUGGGGGCCUGCUUGCAACACCAGUGGCAAAGCAGUCUUGCAUUGUGCUAUUUGUUCUGGAAGGACACAAGCAUUGAGGAGCAAUUUGACCUGGCACCACACUGAUACUGUAUUUGGUAGGUUCUAUUACAGGUUUUCUUGCGUGUAGUAGUACCUGCUAUAAUUGUGUAUAAUGUGUUCAGACCUUUAGUCAGCAGGCUGUUUGACAACAGGUGUUUACAAAUGAAUAACUAACAAGAUUUUCAAGCUCAUUAGUGAUACAAUUGUUGCACACUGCUGCAUUUUUCUGCAAAUUAAAUGAUGAGCCAUCCAGCAAGUGCUGCUCUCCUGCCUUAAUGCACAAACCUUCAAAUAGUGUUAACCCUAUCUCACAAGUGUACAGCAGAUGGAGAUGACUGUUCACAGCGAUAAGUUCAUAAUUUCUACUUACAUGCAAAAGUGAGUCAAAUGUCAGGUACACAUUUGAAGUUUUCCAAAACAAGUUCAUCAUCAUAG